rnacentral:rRNA from 1 species
CCAUUUUCUGCCACCGAAUACAUUAGCAUGGGAUAAUGGAAUAGGACCCUGUCCUCACAUUUUCAGUUGGUUUGCCGCGAGGACCAGGGUAAUGAUUAAUAGGGAUAGUUGGGGGCAUUAAUAUUUAAUUGUCAGAGGUGAAAUUCUUGGAUUUAUGAAAGAUUAACUUCUGCGAAAGCAUCUGCCAAGGAUGUUUUCAUUAAUCAAGAACGAAAGUUAGGGGAUCGAAGACGAUCAGAUACCGUCGUAGUCUUAACCAUAAACGAUGCCGACCAGCGAUUAGGAGACGUUGAAUACAAAACACCACCAUGCGCAUUGCGGUCGUCUUUGGUGUCGCUCACAAGGCGGCACCGGGGCGGCUUAGCUCGCAUGGCACCGGUGAAUGACUCCCUAGCAGCCUUGUGAGAA